UACGUAGGGGGCAAGCGUUGUCCGGAAUCAUUGGGCGUAAAGCGCGUGUAGGCGGCCCGGUAAGUCCGCUGUGAAAGUCCAGGGCUCAACCCUGGAAUGCCGGUGGAUACUGUCGGGCUCGAGUCCGGAAGAGGCGAGUGGAAUUCCUGGUGUAGCGGUGAAAUGCGCAGAUAUCAGGAGGAACACCGAUGGCGAAGGCAGCUCGCUGGGACGGUACUGACGCUGAGACGCGAAAGCGUGGGGAGCAAGCAGG
rnacentral:rRNA from 1 species